UACGGAGGGUGCGAGCGUUGUCCGGAAUCACUGGGCGUAAAGGGCGCGUAGGCGGCGCGGGAAGUCCGUGGUGAAAGCCCGAGGCUCAACUUCGGGUCGGCCAUGGAUACUCCUGGGCUCGAGCACUGUAGAGGCAGGUGGAAUUCCGGGUGUAGCGGUGGAAUGCGUAGAGAUCCGGAAGAACACCGGUGGCGAAGGCGGCCUGCUGGGCAGUGACCGGC
rnacentral:rRNA from 1 species